rnacentral:rRNA from 1 species
CGAUGCAAAUUUUUCAGGUGGCUUGUGGUUCAUAGAAGAUGCCUCACGGCGGACAACCUGUUAGCCAAAGUCAGGGGAUCCUCGUCCUAUGCGCAUCUCCUUUUCACACAGCAGUUGUGGUUUUGUUUUAAAUCAUGGGCUGGGGUAGAUUUCGAGGGGCCGGAUGACAGAUUCACCUCCACGGAAGAUUGGUGGAUACAGGCCAGGGCGUCGAUUCCCAAACCUGCAAGGAGUAAUUUUGACACAGUGGUGAUCUUGUUAUAUUGGAGGAUAUGGAAGGAAAGGAACUCGAGGGUCUUCGAUCAGCUGGCCAGCUCGUGCAACAGGGUGCUGGACUUGUGCAAAGAGGACAUAGCCAUAUGAAGAGCAGCCGGAUGCAUUGCUGAAUUACCGGACUAG